GCCUCUCUCCCGCCAUGUGUCAUACUUCAAGUUCCGGAAUGAAUUUCGACCAAAUGAAAGUAUAUUUUUACUGUUGCCGGAUGGAGACUUGUUACCGAUGAAAGGAUGGCCAGAAUAGAAAGCAGAGAUUGGCAAGAGCUGCCAAAGGCGUUCAUAGUUGUAGUCAGAAGUUGGAAGGAUUGGCGCUGCAUUUUUUGCUGCAUUUUUCAUUACAUGUCACACAUGCUGAUGAGCAUGCAUUUCCAUUGCGUUUCUUGUAAGUCGACUUUAACAAGCGCUAGUCCAGCUAUUAUUCCAGGAUGGUUCGGUGACGUUUUGGAAGCAAUUUGCAUAACAAGACGGUUUGUUUUUUACAUGGGAGAAUUAAUUGGUUGUGAAGGCGAGGGA